rnacentral:rRNA from 1 species
UCUGGGAUAGCCUCGGGAAACUGAGAUUAAUACCGGAUGCGACCACUACCCGCAUGGGUUGGUGGUGGAAAGCUUUUGCGGUGGGGGAUGAGCUCGCGGCCUAUCAGCUUGUUGGUGAGGUAGUGGCUCACCAAGGCUUCGACGGGUAGCCGGCCUGAGAGGGUGACCGGCCACACUGGGACUGAGACACGGCCCAG